AAACCGUUCAGGGGUAAACCUGAGAAACCCAAAAGAUCGAAUGGGGAGAUUCAUCGUCGACGGCGUUGGCUACCGUUUGUGCGCGAUGCUCCGGGUGGGACCCUGCGGUUCCAUUAGCGAGGGCACGCCACCUUCGGAUCGAACUUUCCUGCGUCGUAGUCGUGCACUUCUCCCCUAGUAGGACGUCGCGACCCGUUGUGUGUCGGUCUACGGCCCGAGCGGGAGACUGUCGCGUCGCUUCGGCGCACGCGGCAGACCCUCGGUCGCCCGGCCGGCUGCACGACGGUACACCAACGGUAUCGGGCCGCAGCCAAUCCAUUCUCGAAUGUGUGUGCGUCCAUCCCGCCGCAAGCUCGGUCAGUUCUUACCCGGAGGUACGGACCCUGUGCCGUCCCCGGGCCUGGCCAGCUGUUAGCAGGCGGUGUCCUCGGACCGGCCAAACCUCGGAUUACCGGUCGGCGACGCUAUUGCUUUGGGUACUCUCAGGACCCGUCUUGAAACACGGACCAAGGAGUCUAACAUGUGCGCGAGUCAUUGGGAUGCACAAACCUAAAGGCGAAAUGAAAGUGAAAGUCGGCCUUCGCGCCGAUCGAGGGAGGAUGGGCCGCGUAACCAUGCGGCCCCGCACUCCCGGGGCGUCUCGUUCUCACUGCGAGAAGAGGCGCACCUAGAGCGUACACGUUGGGACCCGAAAGAUGGUGAACUAUGCCUGGUCAGGACGAAGUCAGGGGAAACCCUGAUGGAGGUCCGUAACGAUUCUGACGUGCAAAUCGAUCGUCGGAACUGGGUAUAGGGGCGAAAGACUAAUCGAA
rnacentral:rRNA from 1 species